ACCGGACACGAAAAUUGCGGACAGACCGACAGACGGUUCAAAAACUAUAUGCCUCCCUUCGGGGGCAUAAAAAUACUAAAUUUAUAUGUUGAACACUACAUUUUCAUAACCCCAUUACUUUUCUUAAGUCCUAAUGUUUUUCUAAGACCUUUAUCCUUUCAGCUGUGAAGACACAGUACAAUUUUUUUUGUUUAAUAAAUCAACUUUCUCAGAAUCUUGAUGAAUGUCUAUACACCCAAAAAUGUCCCCUGUGCACCUUUUCAGUUGUUAAGUGUCAGAUUUCUUUUAUUCUUUGAAUAAAACUGGAUUUUACUUUAUUUUCCUUGAAAGGGAGUUACAAUGGAUACAAAAGCGGCUUUCAACUUCACAUAUUAAGGACUGUUAAACAUUCACAAAGCCAGAAGUGAUGUCCCCUGUGCACCCUUUUUUGACAUUCAUCAAUUAUCAUAGCAUUACUGUAAUAUGUGGUGGCAGUUCUAUAUUCUUAGCAGUGUACACGCAAAAUUUAGGCAUUACUUGAUAAUUUAGCAUUAUAUAAGUAACCCUGGACAAUUAAAAAUUCACUGUUUACAUUUUUUGUGAAGUUGCCAAUUUUCAAGUUUAAAAGUGGAAACAUCAAUUUUAUUGCUUCUUAAGCUCUUAAGUUUACCUACAUAUGUAAAUGUUCACUAGUGAAUAAUGUGUAGUUGACAGAAUCUUACUUACUAUGAACAUAUUCUAUGAAUAUAUAUUUUGCUACAAUUUGUCCCCUGUGCACCUUCUCAGUAACAUUAUUAAGUAUGUAAUUUUACUAUUCCAUUUUACCAUGCAUGGCAUUUUGUCAUUUUUCUACUAUGAAUAAGCAGUGCAUGUAAACUAAGUGAUUUCAAUGUGUUAGUAAUGUUUAAAGUCACUUAUUUUUCAUUUAAAGCAUUACAUGCUGUUAAAUUUUCAUGUUUUUGUUGUGAAAUUUUUCAGUUUUGUAGUUAUUUUGUGGAAUAAACUAAUUGUUUGAUAGGAUCUGUCUUAAGUUGACCACCAUUAGUCUUUUUAUGAACAAAAACUAAUAUUGAAUGCAUAUUACACUUAUUUUCAGUAUGUGUCCCCUGUGCAUCUGUAAAAUAACUCAAUUUUGAGUUGACAACUUUAGAAAUUAAAAUUACUGGACAUUCUUGAAAUUUGGCAUGUGGUUUAUAAACAUGCAAAAUGCGAGAAAAAAAUAGGAUUUAUAAUAAUAUGUUUAUUAUUUUUCAUUCAGCAACAACUUUUCUAGGUAAAAUUUUAUUUUCAUGUCAGAUUUGUGCAGAAAGGGUGAUUUUAAAAAGCAAUGUCCACAAACAUUUGAUUAAAUAAGUUUCAGACCAUACACAGACACCUAUUACAUAUCAUAUAUGUUGAAAAAAUUACUGUUAUACAUAUUUCCUUGUCAUAAAACACUGCAACAUUUAUCACCCAUCUUACUGGAAAUUCACUGAACUUUUGAAUUAAAGGCUGAAAUAUUUUCUGAUUGGUAUUUCUCAACACUUUCCCAAAGUUAUUUCCUUGAAAUUUGAAGUAUUUGCUAUCAUAAAAAAUAGGUGACCACCAUAAGAAAUAGGUUUGAAUUUUCAACCCCUAUGUCACACUUUUGCUUCAUUAUUUUGAAAACCACCCAUUUGGGAAUUUCAUAUUCAGGCUUGGGAAGAAACAUACUGUUUUCUUUGGGAUUACCUCCUUUUAUUGGAGGUAGAUUUAUAAUGGAAAAAGCCCUGAUUUUGGUUGUAAAUGACCAUUAGCAUGCUUUUUAUGUUAUUUGUAAAAAGAAGAUAAAGACAUAUUUUCAUUUCAAAAUGUAUAUAUUUUUGUAAAUUUAUUUGUUUUGUUUUUCAGCUGUGAGUUGUUUCUUUUGAAAAUGACUGCUUGAUGAUAAAGUUUCAAACAACUAUGAAGUGAGUGGAUGUUCUAGAGAGACUAAUUCUUCAAAGAAUGAAUGAUCAUCAUCAUGCUUAUAUUGGAAUAAAAGGAAGGAAGUGACAGCUACAGUCAGGGUAAAAGUAAAUGCAGUCAGAAGACCUCUGAUGUCACCUGAAGAGCCAGCCUUCUCAAGAUUCUGUAUCAAAUAAAAAUAACAAGGACUGCUGAAAAGACUUUUUAUAACUUGCAAAUGUGCAGCCUGUGACAUAACUGUCUGAUCCAGGUAGUUUAGUGUUGACAAGAUGACAUUUCAUCUCUAUAGUAGAGGACACAAGUUUGAAAUGCAGUAUGUCAUUGUGAAGGCAAAAUGUUUAUGAAAAUAGUGUGUGUGUGUCAGAUCUGUCCCAUUUUUGGAUUGCCACAGACCAAAAUAAUGAUUGGUGCCUUUGACAUAAAUAGAAGAACUCACACUGGACACCCUGAAGAUGGAAUUACAAGAAUGUAUGUUGUUUGCAUUAAUGUUUCUUUUUCAGAUUUAUGGAAAAAAAUUAGAAUGUCAUUUCUUAAAAAUGUUGAUAGUUGUUUAACCAAAGGCCCUGUAAUUGAAAAAUAUCUUUAUUCUUGACUUUAUAUUAAAAUAAAAAAAAUCUGAUACUGUUUGAUUACUUUUGCAUGUAUAACAUUAAAUUUGUUAUAUUUAAAUUUGAUAAAAUUUAAUGUAUUUUGAAAAAGAUGCACUUGAACAUAUCUAAAUGGAAUAAACACAUGACAGUCUUUGAAUAUCUGUAACAAGAGGACCAUGAUGAUCCUGAAUCGCUCACCUCUUCCCACAUGACCCAGUUUUGAAUAUGACGUCGUUUUUUCUAUUAUUUGACAUAGUGACCUAGUUUUUGAGCUCAUGUGACCCAGUUUUGAAUUUGACCUAGAUAUUAUCAAGAUAAAAAUUCUGACCAAUUUUCAUGAAGAUCCAUUGAAAAAUAUGUCCUCUAGAGAGGUCACAAGGUUUUUCUAUUAUUUGACCUAUUGACCUAGUUUUCGAAGGUACUGACCCUGUUUUGAACUUUACCUAGAUAUCAUCAAGGUGAACAUUCUCACUAAUUUUCAUGAAGAUUUCAUGAAAAAUAUGGCCUCUAGAGAGGUCACAAGGUUUUUCUAUUUUUACACCUACUGGCCUAGUUUUUGACAGCACGUAACCCAGUUUCGAACCUGACCUAGAUAUCAUCAAGGUGAACAUUCAGAUCAAUUUUCAUGAAGAUCCAUUGAAAAAUAUGGCCUCUAGAGAGGUCAAAAGAUUUUAAUAAUUUUAGGCCUACUGACCUAGUUUUUGACCGCAGUUGACCCAGUUUCAAACUUGGCCUAGAUAUCAUCAAGAUGAACAUUCAGACCAAUUUUCAUGAAGAUCCAUUCAAGGGUAUGGCUUCUAGAGAGGUCACAAGGUUUUUCUAUUUCAAGACCUACUGACCUAGUUUUUGAUUGCAGUUGACCCAGUUUCAAACUUGACCUCUAUAUCAUCUAGAUAAACAUUCAGACCAACUUUCAUACAGAUUCCAUGAAAAAUAUGGCCUUUAGAGAGGUCACAAUGUUUUUUUCAUUAUUUGACCUGCUGACCUAGUUUUUGGCGGCAAGUGACCCACUUACGAACUUGACCUAGAUAUCAUCAAGAUGAACAUUCAGACCAAUUUUUAUGGAGAUCCAUUCACAAGUAUGGCCUCUAGAGAGGUCACAAGGUUUUUCUAUUUUUAGACCUACUGACCUAGUUUUUGACCGCACAUGACCCUGUUUCAAACUUGACCUAGAUAUCAUCAAGAUGAACAUUCAGACCAACUUUCAUACAGAUCCCAUGAAAAAUACGGCCUUAAGAGGCGUCACAAGGUUUUUCUAUUAUUUGACCUACUGACCUAGUUUUUGACCGCACAUGACCCAGUUUCGAACUUGACCUAGAUAUCAUCAAGGUGAACAUUGUGACCAAUUUUCAUGAAGAUCUUAUGAAAUAUAUGGCCUCUAGAGGUCACAAGGUUUUUCUAUUUUUAGACCUACUGACCUAGUUUUUGAAGGCACGUGACCCAGUUUCGAACUUGACCUAGAUAUCAUCAAGGUGAACGUUCUGACCAAUUUUCAUGAAGAUCUCAUGAAAUAUAUGACCUCUAGAGAGGUCACAAGGUUUUUCUAUUUUUAGAUCUACUGACCUAGUUUUUGACCGCACGUGACUCGGUUUCAAACUUGACCUAGAUAUCAUCAAGAUGAACAUUCAGACCAACUUUCAUACAGAUCCCAUGAAAAAUAUGGCCUUUAGAGAGGUCACAAGGUUUUUCUAUUAUUUGACCUACUGACCUAGUUUUUGAAGGCACGUGACCCAGUUUCGAACUUGACUUAGAUAUCAUCAAGGUGUACGUUCUGACCAAUUUUCAUGAAGAUCUUGUGAAAUAUAUGGCCUCUAGAGAGGUCACAAGGUUUUUCUAUUUUUAGACCUACUGACCUAGUUUUUGAAGGCACGUGACCCAGUUUCGAACUUGACCUAGAUAUCAUCAAGGUGAACAUUCUGACCAACAUUCAUAAAGAUCCCACGAAAAAUGUGACCUCUAGAGUGGUCACAAGCAAAAGUUUACGGACGGACGCACGGACGGACGACGGACGCUGCGCGAUCACAAAAGCUCACCUUGUCACUAUGUGACAGGUGAGCUAAAAAAAAGCACAUGUUUUGCAGUUCUCAUCAGAUUUGGUUACCAAUUUACAGCAUAAUUAUACAUGAAGGCUUAUUACUCAAACAUAUGCAGAUCUAAUUGUAUAUUUUCUACCAUAGAUAAUUUUAUUUCAUAUAGAUUUUUUAAAUCUUUAAAAAAUACUGAGACAAUAUAGCAAAACAAUGGAUGUAUUAGUAUACUUGAUUUUGUGAGACUGUUGAAAUAUUACAAUUCUUUUUCCCUCUUAAGCCUGUAUCAUAAAAUCAUAUUUUCUGAUGAAAUUUAUUUUUUAAGAAUGUUGCAAUGCAGAAUUUAAUGAAAAUUCAUACAUUUGUAAAGUUACCUAUAUUGUGUUAGGUAAUAACUUAAGCCCAUAUAUUAUAGUAAUUGGCAAAUGAUUAAAGAGAACAUCUGAGUUUCUAGCUGACUUUCUGACCUCAUUCAUGUAACAACACCUACUAAUCUUCAGAAAUCAAGUAAAAUUGUCAUCUUUAAAACAGGUUUCAUUCUAAGAUAUACAAGGCAUAUAACAUCCUAUUUUACCAGCAUGUAUUUACUUUAAUAAAUAUAGUAGAUUUAGUUGUGUAUUUUGAUAAAUUUUGGAAAAAGCAUUAGGAGAUAUUUCUGCAACUGCAGUUUGUAUUAACUGAGUAUUUACUGGCACUGGAAUGUGCAUGAUCAGGGCUUUUCUGAAUAAACUUAGUAAGUCUUAAAUCUACAUUAGCCAUAGCUAUCCGUAAAAAGUCCAGCCAUUGUCUUGAUAGUUUUAAAGAGUUAAAUACAUUUGAGCCGCACCAUGAGAAAACCAACAUAGUGGCUUUGUGACCAUCAAAAAUCCAGAGCAGCCCACACAGUCUGGUCGAGAUCCACCCUGUUUGCUUUAAAAGCAUAUAUUGCAAUUAGAGAAACUGUUAGUGAACAGCAUGGAUCCUGACCAGACUGCACAGGCUGGUAUAGAUCCAUUCUGGUCGCAAACGCACUAUAUUGGUUUUCUCAUGGCCCGGCUCAUUUAAAGUUGUAUCUAGCAAAAUAUUGACUAAACUGUUCUGUAGAUAAUUCGAUUUAAUUUGAUUGUUAAAGGAAGAAUGUGCAUCAUGAUUGUUAUUACAUGAACAUACUGUAUUAUUUUUAAAUAUCAUGAUAUUUUUCAGUCUUGGAUUACACUGUUAUUUGUUCAUAAUUUUGAAUUGUAUUUAAAAUGUAUAUAUUAAAUCAAAUGGCGAAGUAGA